CGUAGUACGAAGUUUUAUUACGUGUAGCAACCUACCGGCGAAUGAUGAUUAUAACGACGACGACGAUAACGACGAGAUUCCGACGGAGAUAACCCGAUAGAUAGCUGUUCUUCCGAGCUGACGCAGCACGACCACCACCACCACCACCACCUUUGUAUACUCGCGAGCGCGGGAGAGGCGGGCGAAAAUGACAUUCCGUCGCGGACUAUUUUGCACAAACGGGAGACUCGACGGUGGGAGUACUGAGAGCGAGCACGACAGAGAGAGAGAAAGAGAGAGAUACAUAGAUAGGAACGGACAGGGGGAAAGAGACAAGAGAAAGAAACACGCGUUUCGUAACAACAACAAUACGGUAUCGCAUAAUGUCAAUCUAAACGUAAUUUGUAAGCUUUGUACGAUGAAGUUUGUAUUAUAUACACACACACAUAUACACACACAAAUACAUAAGCCAAGACUGCACAAUUGCUAUGGGAUUGACUUGAUAAAUUUUAACGAGUGAUCUUACACAUUAAUGAAAGAGAGAGAGAGAGAGAGAGAAAGAGAGAAAUAAAUAGGGCGAGCACAAUAAAUCGAUAGAUUAGAUCGAUCUUAGACUAUCUGAAUCUCGCGUGCGAGGCUCCGCCAGGCGCACUAAACCCUUCAACUGCGAAAUCAUGCGCGCGCGCGCGUGUGUGUGUGCUAUUUUCACCUUGCUGUGUCAAGUCCAUCGCUUUCGAGAACGAGAUCGAGAACGAAGGCGGCGUUCCGUGCGGCGCCGACGCGUCCGUUGGCUUGAAUCCACUGAAAAAUAUCGCGCCGAUCCGUGUGGCGCGGCGGAUUAUCUUCAUUUUAUACGAAAAAAAAUGACAAACCCACGAGACGAUGUUGCAUCGUGACACGCGUGGUGAUUCUCCCCUGGCGAAUGUUUUCUGACAAGUAAAAUGCUGACUGACGUCGUUAACGCGGUUAACGGAAUACCGCUAUAAAAGUGUGCGAGAAAGAGAGAGAGAGAGAGAGUGAAUAUAAGAAAGAAAAAGAGAGAGAGAGAGAGAAAGGAAGAAAGACUGUCGUCGAGCUCACGAAUGUAAAAAAAAUCGAUAGACGUGAAAGAACCAAGAGCGCGCUGACGGCUCUUUCUCGCGAAACCGAGCGAGAGAGCAAGUCACGUGUGCGUGCAUGUGUGCGUGCGUGCGUGCGUACGUGCGUGUGUGUAAUAUUUCUCGUGCAAUCAUCGAAAUCAUCGUCCUCCCUCUCUCACACGCGCUAAUCCAUAUCUAACUUCAGAAACUGAAGCCGUCCACCGGCUUGAAAGAUUCACCGUCCCUCAAUGAGGAUGUCGUAUUAACCGACAUCAAGAAGAUAUCGCUUCGCACUCGAUACCCCGAUAACGGUCACGACAUGCCAUUAAUUUUCGAUGCGUUAAUCACGAACGUCACCAGCGAGGGUGAGGGACGAGAGAACCGGGGAGAAUCGCGCGUGCGAAUUGUCUCGGGUGUGCACGGAGAGAGAAUAUUAUAGUUCUUUUUUACUCACUGGCGGGAUUCUCCUCAAUUGUACUACGUUUCCCGAUAGCGCGGAAAGAUUGAUUGUCGCCGGGCUUUAUCUCGUUGAAGGACAGUGAAUCUUUCAAGCCGGUGGACGGCUUCGGUUUCUUAAGUUAGAUAUGGAUUAGCGCGUGUGAGAGAGGGAGGACGAUGAAUUGGGACAGAAUGCGCGCGUCGACGUGUUCGGAAAUUCUUUAGUGAUCUUCGCUAUAAAAUCCCCUCCGUGUGUGUGUAUGUGUGUCCUUCGGCGGAAAGCGCUGUGUUCUCUCCCCGAGACACGCGAUUUGCGUAUUUGUAAUUUGUACGACUCACUCUCGUGCACUGUACUUGUCCACUCUCGAACUCCUCGUAUGCGCGCGAUACCGUUUUCCCGAUCAAAUUUCUUUGUUUUUCUUUUGUUCGUCCGAUGUGAAAGAGAGAGAGAGAGAGAGAGAGAGAGAGAGAGAGAGAGAGAGAGAGAGAGAAAGAGAAAGGAUUCUUUAUUUUAUUUAUUUUACUCGAAGUCACGGGAAUUGUAUAGAAAUUGCGGGAAUUGUAUAGAAAUGGUGUGUGGAAAUUGGGAGGAGGAAGUGGGGAGGUGAGAACGAGAAUAAAACGAAGUGCAAUCGAUGUGUGCGAAAUUUUGCCGGUGACGCGGGAAAGAGUCAUUAACCGGCGUUGCAGAGAGAUCCCCUUCCGAGAGUGAAGCUUUCGAAAAAUCACGUCGGCCACGUCGCUGAAGGUUCUCCGUUACGCAAGUCUGAAUGGAGCAACGGCGCUGAUAAUGAUAAAGCACGCGUUAUUUUUAUGCGAACGUGACGAUAUUUAUAUCGUGAGAAAAGAAUUAUUAAAAAUACGUCCAGAGGAUACGUCGCGCGGUUAAUGACAGUUUCCGUGAGGUCGACGAGAGAGCGCGCUGCAAUUGGAAGACGGCCGUUGAAAGAGAGAUUUGAGGAGGCCCCGUGACGUUCACGCGGACACCCGGGGACACAUCGGGUAUGGCGUCCGCACAUCACACGGCGCGAAAACACGGGUGCAAUCGGAAGAGCUUAUUUCCGAUUACGCGUUACGAGGCUUCUGUGGCGCGUGAUAUACCCGUUUUUUUCUUUCCACUUUGUUCUUUUCUCUUGUUAAAUAUAGCCUUAACCAUAGGUAAGCGACGUUAUUUUUAGUUCGUUAUUAGCAGCGAUGAGUGAAACCUGUUCGCAGUUAUCUCACCGUUGAAUUGCUCUUGACAUUUUUCGUUUUUCCGGCUCCCAGGCGAGAAUAGACGAAGAGACAAAGUUUUAUUUGCGAACCCCGAGAGACAGGCAGGGAGAGUGAGAGAGGGAGAGAGAACAGCAGAAGAAUAUCGAUAUCACGAAUAAUAAAUGAACGCUAUGCCAAACAGACGACGUCGUUUCCUCCGAGUGAAUCUUCUACGGAAUCGAACGAGCGCACUCUCGUUCGUCGUUGCGUUUCGAUUUAAAACACGAGAACGCCCUGCAAGCUCCUCGAUUUCGCGCGCGCGCGAGAUUUUCGGCCGGCCUUGCCUCUCUCUCUCUCUCUCUUUCUCUCUCUCUCUCUCUCUCUCUCUCUCCCCUUUUCUUCCGCUUCUCUUUAAAUCGAGCGCUUUCACAUGCGCGCACGACGCUCGUGUUCCGGACGUCGUGAAAAAAACAGAUUGGCCGGAAACGCGCGGAUACUUGCGGUCGCGAGCGCUAAUCUCGCGGUCUCUAUUAGCCGACCGACACGAAGGAAGAAUGUGAGGCGAUGAGCUCUCGUGUGUGUAUGUGCGUCGGGGAGACACACGCCGACCUGGAAUAAACACGACGAGAGAGUCCGCGAACGUCACGCGAAGAUGGGGAUUCCCGAGAAGCGAACCUCUCUCUCUCUCUCUCUCUCUUGGGGUCAUUUUCGCGCCCCCGAGAAUCUUCGAGACGCGGUCGUCGUAUCAUUCGAACCCCUUCCGUACGAAUCGCGAUAAUGCUGACGUGCCGCGAAUUUUCGCCGGCCGAGAAAUACCUGUGACGUCAUCGCUGAUAAGCCUUACGGGAACCUCGGGGAACUCGUAAGCGUGAGUAUUUCGAGUACACACAUACAUACACAUUGCGUGUACAUAUAUAUGAUAUUAAGGCUUCUGUCCCUCGCCGCAGCCAUCUUAACUAAUGACGUCAGAAACGAGAAAAUGUCCAAAAUUCUUGCGAAAAACGUUCAAAUAAAACGGUAGGUCCGUAAAAUGAUACUUGUGCGAUUGAUUGAAAGCAUAUUUGUAAAACAUUCCGGGAACUUUUUUCACUCUCACAAUAAUCAACAAAUGACCGUAAAAUCAACAUGACAUAUAACUUGCCUUUUUAGCCUAUCUUAUAAUUUUGUCACGUUAAUUCUACAGCUAUAUAUUAGCCGUUAAAAGGAAAAUUUUCGAGAUAUUUUACAAAUGUGGAUCAAUCGAGUAUCAUUUUAUGGAAAUAUCCGCUUGUUUCAACGUAUUCCGUAGGAAUUUUAUCGUUUUUGACGUCAUUAAUCAAGAUGGCUGCGACGGGGAAACAAGAGUCUUAACGAUUUUUUAUUUAAUAAUUAUCGUAUUUUGUGUCGUAAUUCCGACGUAAUGAUUUUAUGACAGACCAAUCGAAUGAUAGAGAGACUCUUUUUUUUAAAUCAGGUAAAUUGGUAAGGUCGAUAAGAGCCGAUCGCAGGUGUACUUUGCUUGUAUUUUGCUAUGUAAGGUACACGCAGAUACAAAUCAACAAAAUAUCGAUCGAAAUGUCUCGGUCGAAAAUAUUCAUAUGAGAGGAAUUGUCGGUUGUGUGUAAUGAGUAGAAACAUAGUCAACCCAAGUCCUGCCCCAAAUCGCGUUUAUCAACGGACGCAUCAUUACAGGCGUUUUACGACAUACUUCGCUGUUGACAUUUCGUUUCGUAUCAAUAAUUUCGGGCUGAGAGAGUGAUCACAAAAAGAGAAUGACCACAAAAACGGUCGGAAUGUUUCGACUGAUAUCUUAUGGAUUUCUACGUUUAUUAUUCACGUGUACUUUACCUUGUAAAAUACGCACGGAACAAAUAUUUCAUUGGUAUAGCAAAUUUGUCAGUUACUAUGGGGUAGCAAAAAAGAUUUGUUGGGACAGCAAUAAGAUUUGUUAAGAAUAUUAAUUGCUAUUUGCUGGAUAUAUAAAGAGCAAAAUAAUUUGGUUACGCCAACUAAACGUUUUGUUACAAUAGUAAAAUUUCUUUUUCCGUGUAACGAAUCUUUUUUGCUAUCCGCAUAGUGACUGAGACAUUUGCUAUGCCAGCAAAAUAUAUGUAAUUUAUAUAAUAAUUCAUUGUAAAAGCAACAUUCGGUUCUUGUUAGCUUGUUGAUAUUUUUUUCUUUCAUUCACGUCGAUUCAGUGUCGCUCGACUCUGAGAGUGAAACCAUCGUAAGGAAAGGGUUAAUCGCUUCACACUACCGUUCUUGUGUUUCUCGCCCGAAUUUUAUAUAAAAAGAAAAAAAAUACACACGUGCACACAUAGUCAAGCAGGUACACGCGAAGUCCGGAUCACAAAGGACGUGAACGUCAUCCGCCUAGAUAGCUCACCAAGUAUUUGAUAUACUCGAAGAUCUAUUUAUAUAUUUGUAUGAGGAGAGAGCACACAGGAGAGAGAAAGAGAGAGAGAGAGAGAGAUCUGCACGUGUCUCUCGCUCGUCUCUCAUUCUCUCACCCGAAGAGAGAUCGCAUGCUAUUUUUCUAAAGCAGCGUCCAAACUUUUAUCGCGCGCGAACGCGCCUGGAUCGAUUAACGUUUUACGUGAUCCUCUAUUUGGCGAGCUAUCGUCGGCGGACGAGAAAGAGAUGCGAGGAGGAGGAGGCGGAGGAGGAUGAAGAAGACGACGACGAGAUCGCGUCACGCCUCUACAGCUAUUACGUACUCCUCGUCAACGAUGUUCAAACGACGUUUCUGUAUCGCUGCCCGACUCGGUCCAGCAUAUCACGUGUACAUCACUUAAAGACCAGGAAUUGUUUCUCUUCUCCCCCUCCAGGCCAUCUCUACUCCGCUGACGUGUACGCGAACGAGCGGCGCGGAAUCGCUUAUCUUCCACCAUGUGUCGAAAACUCGCCAAGAAACGGACAAAGAUGCAUGCGACAUAUCGUAUGUGUGAACAAUUUGCGAAUACAGAGAGAGAGAGAGACACGUGCGCCAUUUGUCAUGCAAACGACGUCGUGCGUCGACGUCGGUCUCACAAACUGCAAGAAGAUGAAAAAGAAAAAAAGAGAAAAAACACCGGGAAAACGAGCAAGUUUAACACCACGAUUUAGAUAUGUGUAUAUCGGCCUUUCAAUACCACCUGCGUCGCAUUGAUAUUGAGUACGAAGUAUGUUAUAUUUUUUACAAUGUGAAGAAUCUUGUACAUAUAUACCGUCGAAAUAUGUAUAUAUAUAUGUGCAUAUGUACAUACGUGUAUGUAUAUAUAUAUAUAUCUUGACACUCCUGGAAGGAGAGAGGACGACAGCGACACGGUGUGACUAUUUCGAUGGCGAGAAAGAAACAGAGAGAGAGAGAGAGAGAGAUGUGCAUCGUAACAGAUCACGGACAUUUUUUUCUUUCCUUUUUUCAUUAAUCCGUUCGCAAAAAAAAGGAAGGAAAGUGCGCUUCGUCCAGUUCGAAGAAGAAAAGGAAGAUCGAUCAGAUGGGCGGAUGGCGCCGCUGGAAUUUAAUUUCUCGGCCAUUCGCGACGCGGAAAUUCACGUCGCUGAUUUUUCCUCAGAGAGAGAGAGAGAGAGAGAGGGAUAUCUCCGUUCCGUACUAAUUCGUUAUUUCGUUUUUUUCUUCCUUGCUCGCUCGCUUGCUUGCUUGCUUUCGGCUCGGACGAAUCGCAAGUCGACGGACAGAGGCGAUGGAGCGAUUCGGCACGCUUUUACCUCGAUGUACCAGCACAUGAGAAUCUAGUCAUGGCCGAAUUGCGUCUCGAGGUGCUCGCAGAUCGUGAGUUUUCCUCCUCCCUCUCUUUCGCUCUUUUUUUCGUUUUGUCUAAUUCGAUGAAAAAUUUACUUUUUAAAAUACGCUGCGUCUUAAUCUGGUGCUGCCCAUCUGACAAUUAUCUUGUGAAGAGAAUAGAAAAAAGAAUGAGGACGAAUCGCAACUUUGAUGCAUAUUUUUUUUUCUUUACUCGUGCGGACUUUCUCCCCCCUUUUCUCACUUCACUUAUCCACUAACCAUUGUAACGAGCGGCUAUUUCGGCGCUGUCGCACGGAAAGGGCACGUUAGAGUAUCCGUCUGUGAGACGAACGAGCAAAAGCCGAUCGUCAUCCUGAUCGUCGUACCGAUUCUCGACACGAUCCUGCGUGAAAACGGACGAAGGGUGACUUUCACCGGGCUCCUAUCUGUCCGAUCGACGCGAUUCGCAUCGCCUUGUCAGCUAAAUAUUACCUGCUGCGUUCCGCUAAGAUAGAUAGGAAUUGUUAGUCUUUCGAUCAUCGUCGUCGGACGACAAAGCGCACAGAUGUGGAGAUUGACAAUUCUUCCGGCUGCUCGUCGAUUGACUCGAUCGAAAUUCGGUGGAGGUCACCCUUUCAGGGCGAUAACACACGGAAAAACGGAAUCAGCGAAAUAGGAGCGACAAACGAGUCGCGACCAGUCGCAGCUCAGACUUUCGCACAUUGCAGUCUCGGUAAUACUCGCUUGCGAUUGGUCGCUUCGUUCGCCGCCCACGUUUUUCUGUGGGCUAUGACCCUCGGCGAAGUAUUAGGCUGCAUACCGCUGCUGUAAUAAUUUGAUACUGAGACACACCUGUGAAUCUGGAUGCGGCGAUAUCGCUGAUUGAAAUUCUUUUCUGGUGAAAACACGAGCCCGCUGACGUAACAUUCAUUUUAUUUUCUACAACAACUCUUUAAGAAUAAUUUCUUCAGGCAUGUUGACUUGUGUCCUGUCAUUUUUGUGAAAAUGUGACUUCAACGAGAUAAUUAGUUUUAUCACUUUCUCCUCGUUUAAUAUUGUCAUUUAUUAAAUUCGUCGUUUGUUAUUAAUUGCUUUAGCGCUACAAAUCGCAAAUUACGUGUCUCGGGGUAUCGUUAUUUCGAAAUAUUCUCUCUUGGUGUCGUAUUUUAGAACAGUGACAUUUCUCUAGUGGGCUCGAGUAGAGAGAGAGAGAGAGAGAGAGAGAGAGAAAAGAAAGCGUUAGUAGGAUUUGAAAAGUAAAAACGAAAUAAAAGAUACGGCUAAUAUGAUUCCGCCUCGAAUAACGAUCCCGUGAGGUUUCGUGUCGCACCAAAUCGAUUUCGCCGCGUUUACAGAAAAAAGGAUAAAGAAACAGUUUACGUUAACGUUUUUUGAUAAACACAGGUCGUACGCAGCAUAAUAUUCCCGUGUUGUAAAGUAUCGUGCUAAUUAGGUAGUUGUAAUUUGGUUUGUACGAUGUCGAUAAAAAGGAAAAAAAGGAACUUAACUCUUGUGAUUAAGGAGAAGACUAUACAUAUAGGUAUAACGCUCACACAUAUACGUUUCAAAUAAAUCCUUUUUAUAUUUCA